rnacentral:rRNA from 1 species
GCAAGUCGAACGAAGAGCGAUGGAAGCUUGCUUCUAUCAAUCUUAGUGGCGAACGGGUGAGUAACGCGUAAUCAACCUGCCCUUCAGAGGGGGACAACAGUUGGAAACGACUGCUAAUACCGCAUACGAUCUAAUCUCGGCAUCGAGGAUGGAUGAAAGGUGGCCUCUAUUUAUAAGCUAUCGCUGAAGGAGGGGAUUGCGUCUGAUUAGCUAGUUGGUGGGGUAACGGCCCACCAAGGCGAUGACCAGUAGCCGGUCUGAGAGGAUGACC